rnacentral:rRNA from 1 species
CGAGGAACAGACGGCCCCGUAACACGGGCCGCCCCCGCCAGAGGACCCCCUAACUCUGUUUCUAUAAAUGUUUUUUCUGAGUAAACAAGCAAAUAAAUUAAAACUUUCAACAACGGAUCUCUUGGCUCUGGCAUCGAUGAAGAACGCAGCGAAAUGCGAUAAGUAAUGUGAAUUGCAGAAUUCAGUGAAUCAUCGAAUCUUUGAACGCACAUUGCGCCCGCCAGUAUUCUGGCGGGCAUGCCUGUUCGAGCGUCAUUACAACCCUCAGGCCCCCGGGCCUGGCGUUGGGGAUCGGCGGAGCCCCCCGUGGGCACACGCCGUCCUCCAAAUACAGUGGCGGUCCCGCCGCAGCUUCCAUUGCGUAGUAGCUAACACCUCGCAACUGGAGAGCGGCGCGGCCACGCCGUAAAACACCCAACUUCUGAAUGUUGACCUCGAAUC